rnacentral:lncRNA from 1 species
AAAUGAGGAAAAUACCUAAUUAAAAAAAAAAAGCAUAACAAAGAUUUGCCUGCUGUCAUUUUACUCAAAUUCUUCCCUACUCUUGUUACAGUAGAGGAGCAGGAGACUGCAGGCUCACCCAACCUUCUCACGGGUGCCUUGAGCAGGAGUACAGUGUCUCUCCCCACACACAUUAGGGCCAUGCAGCUAUGAUGCAUGGCAACUAGAAAAGCUCAAAGAUCACAGAGCCCGAAACCCCUUUCCAGAAACCAGCUCCAGAGCACAGGUACCUGCAGAGGUGUUAGAUCCCUUGGCUGGAGUUACAGGUGCUUGUGAGCCUCCUAGCAUAUGUAGGUGGUGAAACUCAGGACCUCUACUUAAGAGCUAAGCCACCUGUCCAUCUAAUCUUUUUGAAAUGUGUUAGCUAUUUAAAAUUCUUCCUACUUUUGGAUCUUCUCAGAUGAGCAAAGAUGGCUGGAUUACAUCAUUGAUGUUCACAGACUGUCCCCAGAGCAGCACCUAAUAGGAUGGAUUACCAGACCCUUCCCAAGUCUCAAAAAGGGUCCUAUGUGAAAUCAAAGACACUGCCAUAGGAAAGACAGUGUGGUAGGAACAUGUGUUGCAUAUAUACCUAAAUCCAAAAUGUACCAAGGUGAAUGACUAGCUAGCUGGUACAUUCAGGUGAGAAUUUUCCUUAACAGCCACUUUCCAACUUUGUGGUGGUCACUAUAUUUUGUCAAAAACAAACAAACAAACAAACAAAAAAACCUGUUCAUUAAACUAAUUCUGCUCUUUUUGUUAUCAAAACUGAGUUGAGAGCCGGAGAGAUGGCUUAGCGGGUAAAAGUACUUGCCACUAGGCCCGAUGACCUGAGUUCAAUCUCCAGGGUGCACAGGUUGAAGGAGAGAUCUGUCUCCUGCAGGUUGCCCUCUGGCUUUCACAGAUGUGCUGUGGUGUGCGUGCACACACCCAUACAAGUCAGUAGAUAAAGUCAAAGGCUAAAACUGAGUUUAAAUCUCUUUGGUUAGAUAAACAGAAUGAAGUUUUAAGUCUUGUCAGAAGAAAAGGUGGCUAUGUGCUGUCUUAAGGGUAAUAUGAAGCCACAUCUGACAGAGAAUGCCUUUGUGGAUUUAUUCAUUACAAUAAUGUUGAUGACAUUAACUGGAAUAUACUCAGAGAGUUCCUGUGUUCACUUCAGGUAAGCUAACCCUUGGAUGACAACUUUGGUGUCCUCAUCAGACUCAUCCCUCAUGGAAACCUAAUAUUAGGGGUCUGUACUAGAGAGUGUAGGUAUUUUAGAAAGUUCCAUUAGGACCUGUAGCUGCAGCUUCUUUCAGACAUCUUUUGCUUAAGAUAACAUUAAGAGAACACAGUGGGCUUGGGUCCAGUUUAUUACCUUCCUAGUUAAGAAGGAGGUCUUAUGGAGAAUACAGAUAAAGUCCUGGGAGUUGAAUGGAAAAAAACUGGGCUCAACUCAAGGUAAAAUUGAUUGUCAGCUUUAGAUUAAUAAAGGUUAUAUAACAGGGAACCCUACCAAAAGGCUCCUCUUUUUUUAAAAAUUUUUUAUUAGAUAUUUUCUUCAUUUACAUUUCAAAUGCUAUCCCAAAAGUCCCCUAUACCCUCCAAAAGGCGCCUCUUUUAAAGGAAUAAUUCACUUCAUGAGCAGUUAGCUAAUCCUUUAGUUUCAUUUAGUGUUUCCAUAUUUACAUUUAGAUUUUCAUUAAUGUGCUGCUAUUGAACAUCUUUCAUGAUUUAAAAGCUGUAAAAUAUUUUAAUCUGUGAUGCAUUUGUUUACAAAGCCAACCACUUAAUUCUAUAUAAUAUGUAGCACUUGAAACCAUCUGUUAGGAACAUUUGAAGACUUUGGUGCACAUUGUGAAGAUGAAUACAGCAAACGAGAAACAAAACAUGAAAUAUUCAGGCCGUGUUUGUGAUGGAGGGAAAAAGCAUGUACUUUAAGUUUGAAAACAUUGCAGUCUAAAAUUUGACAAAGAAGCUUUCCAGAGUGAAACACUUUUCUAAUUCCAGGCAAAUGUCAAACUGACAUUUUAGAAGCCGGGGAGAUGACUUUGUAGAUAAAUGUUCUUGAUGCACAACAUGAAGAACUGAGUUCAAAUCCUCAGUGCUGAUGUGCGUGAUACGUUGAGUUGAAUCAAAGUCAUCCAAGUCUUCACUCUGGUUUUAUGUUUACAUUUCCUGGUGACUGAAUGAGCGAGCUUCCCUAUCUGCAAGUCUGAACGGCAAGUUUUUAUAUUGGUUGUUUUUACCAACUUUUUGUAUUUCCACACACGUGUUCCCAUUAAUUUAUGUCAUCGUUUUGAACUAACAACAUUUUGAGUUUCAAGCCUUUGGCUCCCUGGAACUAACAUUUAGAAUCCCAGACUUAGUUCAUCUCCAGCAAAGUCAAAUUGUAUAUGCUUAUUUGGGUUUAAUACGAUUCUUUUGAAACUGGUGAGGAAUUCUUGGCCAGUGCAGGGGAGUUGAGUUUAGUCUUUGGAUUUCUAACAUGAACUCCUAGCGUGGGUCCAUAUUUAAAGACUUGCUGGAUGAAUGACAGUUAUUAAGAUUCCUAUGGUUGCUAUGAGUCUGUUUUAAAAUAGUUUUGUUAUAAUGGAACACCCUCUGCAAUGAGUAAAAAUAAGAGGGAGUGUGGAUUCACACAAGAAGGCAAAUGAUUGGUGUGAAAACAUUGCCAGGGUGAGCUGUGAACAGGAAGAAAUACUCAAUUCAGAGUCCUGUCCCAGGGUGCCAGGCUUCGAUGGGCAUGUGGCCCAUGUUUUGAUGACUGGCCCACAGCAGAGGCUUGUAUGUCUGCAUCCUGCUCCCUGACAUCCUGAACAGGAGACUCCUGCUCACCUUUGCCACCAUGCUCAAUGACCGCAAGUUGCAUCCCUGAUACUUGGUAAAUGCAUGUUUGAGAAGAGAGAGGAUGGAAGGGUAAAGUGUCUUGUUCUUUGGAACACAGUAAAGGAAGGUGGAUUUUU